rnacentral:rRNA from 1 species
AGGACGAACGCUGGCGGCGUGCCUAACACAUGCAAGUCGAGCGGUGAAGCUCCUUCGGGAGCGGAUCAGCGGCGAACGGGUGAGUAACACGUGGGCAACCUACCCUUGACUCUGGGAUAACUCCGGGAAACCGGGGCUAAUACCGGAUAUGACGCAUAAGGACCUCCUCGUGCGUGGAAAGAUUUAUCGGUCAGGGAUGGGGCCCGCGGCCUAUCAGCUUGUUGGUGGGGUAACGGCCCACCAAGGCGACGACGGGUA